GAUGAACGCUGGCGGCGUGCCUAAUACAUGCAAGUCGAGCGAACAGAUGAGGAGCUUGCUCCUCUGACGUUAGCGGCGGACGGGUGAGUAACACGUGGAUAACCUACCUAUAAGACUGGGAUAACUUCGGGAAACCGGAGCUAAUACCGGAUAAUAUAUUGAACCGCAUGGUUCAAUAGUGAAAGACGGUUUUGCUGUCACUUAUAGAUGGAUCCGCGCCGCAUUUGCUAGUUGGUAAGGUAACGGCUUACCAAGGCAACGAGGCGUAGCCGACCUGAAGUGUUGGUCGGCCACGCUAGAACUGAGACACGCUCAAGUCUCCGUCUGGAGGCAGCAGUAGGGAAGCUUCCGUUAUGGGCUAAGUCUUGACGGAGCAACGCCGCGUGAGUGAUGAUGUUUUUCCGAUGGUAAAACUCUGUUAUUUGGGAAGAACAAUUGUGUAAGUAACUAUGCUCGUCUUUACGGUACCUAAUCAGAAAGCUACGGCUAACUGCGUG
rnacentral:rRNA from 1 species